rnacentral:rRNA from 1 species
UUGACCUCAAAUCAGGUAGGACUACCCGCUGAACUUAAGCAUAUCAAUAAGCGGAGGAAAAGAAACUAACGAGGAUUCCCCUAGUAACUGCGAGUGAAGCGGGAAAAGCUCAAAUUUGAAAUCUGGCAGCCUUUUUUUUCUUCUUUGGCUGUCCGAGUUGUAAUCUAGAGAAGCGCUUACCUGCGCUGGACCAUGUAUAAGUCUCCUGGAAUGGAGCGUCGCAGAGGGUGAGAAUCCCGUCUUUGACAUGGACUGCCAGCGUGUUGUGGUGCGCUCUCAAAGAGUCGAGUUGUUUGGGAAUGCAGCUCUAAACGGGUGGUAAACUCCAUCUAAAGCUAAAUAUUGGCGAGAGACCGAUAGCGAACAAGUACCGUGAGGGAAAGAUGAAAAGGACUUUGGAAAGAGAGUUAAACAGUAUGUGAAAUUGUUGAAAGGGAAACGCUUGAAGUCAGUUAUGUCGGCGAGGGAUCAGCCUAGCUUGUUGCCGGGUGAAUUUCCUGGCCUGACAGGCCAACGUCAGUCUUGACUGCCGGAAAAGAGCAGAGGGAAUGUGGCACCUUUGGGUGUGUUAUAGCCCUUUGUCAUGUGUGGCAGUCGGGACUGAGGGACGCAGCGUGCCGCGAGGCUGGGUUUCGACCACGUUCACGCUUAGGACGUUGGCUUCAAAUGGCUUCAAUCGACCCGUCUUGAAACACGGACCAAGGAGUCUAACAUGCCUGCGAGUGUUUGGGUGGAAAACCCUUGCGCGCAAUGAAAGUGAAAGUUGAGAUCCCUGUCGUGGGGAGCGUCGACGCCCGGACUUGAGCUUUUAGCGACGGAUCCGCGGUAGAGCAUGCAUGUUGGGACCCGAAAGAUGGUGAACUAUGCCUGAAUAGGGCAAAGCCAGAGGAAACUCUGGUGGAGGCUCGUAGCGAUUCUGACGUGCAAAUCGAUCGUCAAAUUUGGGUAUAGGGGCGAAAG